GAAAAGGAAAAAUCGAUUAUUUAAAGAAAAAAAUAUAAUAAUAAUAUUUAGUCAUAUAAUUAUUAUAUUUACCCUCGUCCAACAUGCCCAUUAACUCACUAUUCAUCUUCUUCUCCUUUAAAGCAUCACCUCAUCUAAUGCUCACGUUGUUUUUUGCCAACUUCCAUUCAUCAACCUCUGUCAUGUGUAGCCAUCGUCGGAGAUCCAAGCUACGUUCGAUCUUCGCACGUGAAUCGUCGUACGUCAGGAUUCCAGUUGUAACGACCCAACUUUUCUAUCUAAGUCGAAGUCAUUAUUUUAAACAAAACACUUUGAUUGACACAAAAUAUUGUGAAAUUUAAUUGAAAUCAUAACGAUCAAGGAAAACUUAAGUUCGGGCCCUAUUUCAAACAAAUAAAAUUCUAAAAGUACUGUUUACAAAAGAACUAUUCAUAAACUCAGUUUCAUCACAAAUAAAUUUAAAACCAUUAGCGGAAACAGUUUAAAAGACAUUUCCCUUAUGGCAAAUCACAA
rnacentral:lncRNA from 1 species